ACGUGACACACCAAACUCACGAAGAAAGAAUACGUGCGCAUACAUCCGUCAUGGGCUCAUCAAAGACAUACAACGAAGUGGAAUUAUUCUCAAUUCAUUUUGAACAAUAAGAUAACAAAAUAUCAGGAGAUUCUCGAAUGGGACUUACUUCUAGAAACUGGAGGAAGACUGGGAAGAGAGGCCAAGAUCUGCCUAGCAACAAGGCCAGCAUGGAUUUUGCCGUGUCCAUGUCCAAAUUCCUCUGGUCUUUAUCCUGAUCAUGGAACACACGGACAUGGAAAAACCCACAGUGAGCAGAGAUGGGCUCGGAUCAGCAGAUUUUAAACACUGGAAUAAUAAAAAGAGUUCCAAGAUUAAAAACCACUGCUGAACAAAAAGAACAUUAAGGCUCAGAAAACAUCCUGAUGAUCCCAAAGACCUUUGGGAAAAUACUCUGUGAUCUGGCAAGACAAAGGUUCAUCUUUUUGGAAGGUGUGUGUCCCAUUACAUCUGCCAUGAAAGUAACACCACCUUCAGAAAAAGAACAUCAUAACAACAGUAAAAUGUGGUGGUGGUAGUGUGAUGGUCUGGGGCUGUUUUGCUGCUUCAGGACCUGGAAGAUUUGCUGUGAUAAAUGGAACCAAAACAUCCUGAAGGAGAAUGUCCGGCCAUCUGUUGGUGACCUCAAGCUGAAACCAACUUGGGUUCUGCAGCAGGACAAUGAUCCAAAACACACCAGCAAGUCCACCUCUGAAUGGCUGAAGAAAAACAAAAUGAAGACUUUGGAGUGGCCGAGUCAAAGUCCUGCCCUGAAUCCUAUUGAGAUGCUGUGGCAUGACCUUAAAAAGGCGCUUCUUUCUGGAAAAGCCUCCAAUGUGGCUGAAUGACAACAAAAGAUGAGUGGGCCAAAAUUCCUCCACAGCGUGUAAGAGACUCAUUGCAAGCUAUCACAAACGCUUGAUUGAAGUUGUUGCUGCUAAGGGUGGCCAACCAGUUAUUAGGUUUAGGGGGAAAUCACUUUUUCACACAGGGUCAUGUAGCUUUGGAUUUUUUUCUCCCUUAAUAAUAAAAAGUUUCAUUUAAAAACUGUUCUGUGUUCAGUUGUGUUGUCAUUGACUAAUAUUUAAAUUUGUUUGAUGAUCUGAAACAUUUAAGUGUGACAAACAUGUAAAAUAAAUAAAUAAAUAUGGAAGAGGGCAAACUCUUUCACACCACUGUAUAUUAGUGCUGUCAAAUGAUUACAAAUUUUAGUAAGAUUAAUAACAGUUGUUAAUCAGGAUUAAUCAUCAUUAACAACUAUGUCUGAAAUAUGACCAUUUUUACUGUAUUUAAUGAAGAGAAAGAUACAGUAAAUGACAGGAGCAGCAUAGAAUUUAAAUAUUUAAAAAAUAUACAUUAUUUUUUUUAAUUGUAAUAUUAAAAGAAACAAACAAAACAAAAUAAAGUUGUAAUUUUUGGAACAUUAGCUUGGGGUUAUAAUAUGGGAAUAAAGUCAUGAUAUUAUGAAAAGAACAAUUUACAAAGAUUAUUUAAGAAGAAAGUUUAAAUAGUUGAAAAAAAAAAAGAUGAGCAAACAUGGGACAAAAGAGCAAACUUUUUAUUGAAAUAUAUAUAACUUCUUAGCAUAUAUACACGUGUUGCUUUACAAAAUAUCAAAGUGGCAAAAUUGCAUCUUUUCAUUUUUCACUGUGUGACCCUCGCUUCAAAAACAUUUGGACACCCCUGGUCUACUGUAAUGUUUAAUAGGAGUGUAAAGGUGACUAUAGGGGUGCUAUUUCAUGUCUAGAGGGCUCUAAUAAUGUUGAAAGGUGUAUUUAAAAGGUCGUAAUUAUUAUAUAUUAUAUAUUCCAGUUAUAUAUUAUAUAUUCCAGUUAAGGAAUAAGGAAUCCUACUUUGCGGAAGGUCACUUGUCAUGGUUGGGUCUGGAUUAGGUCUGUCACGACAACAGAUUUUGCUGGUCGAUAACUGUGCGACAAAUUAUCAUCUACAGUCAAACUUGUCUAUAGCGGCCA